GAUGAACGCUGGCGGCGUGCCUAAUACAUGCAAGUCGAGCGAACGGACGAGAAGCUUGCUCCUCUGAUGUUAGCGGCUGACGGGUGAGUAACACGUGGAUAACCUACCUAUAAUACUGGGAUAACUUCGGGAAACCGUAGCUAAUACCGGAUAAUAUUUUGAACCGCAUGGUUCAAAAGUUCAAGACGGUCUUGCUGUCACUUAUAGAUGGAUCCGCGCUGCAUUAGCUAGUUGGUAAGGUAACGGCUUACCAAGGCAACGAUGCGUAGCCGACCUGAGAGGGUGAUCGGCCACACUGGAACUGAGACACGGUCCAGACUCCUACGGGAGGCAGCAGUAGGGAAUAUUCCGCAAUGGGCGAAAGCCUGACGGAGCAACGCCGCGUGAGUGAUGAAGGUCUUCGGAUCGUAAAACUCUGUUAUUAGGGAAGAACAUAUGUGUAAGUAACUGUGCACAUCUUGACGGUACCUAAUCAGAAAGCCACGGCUAACUACGUG
rnacentral:rRNA from 1 species